GCGGCGUGCUUAACACAUGCAAGUCGAACGGAAAGGCCCUUCGGGGUACUCGAGUGGCGAACGGGUGAGUAACACGUGGGUGAUCUGCCCUGCACUUCGGGAUAAGCCUGGGAAACUGGGUCUAAUACCGGAUAUGACCUUGGGAUGCAUGUCCUUUGGUGGAAAGCUUUUGCGGUGUGGGAUGGGCCCGCGGCCUAUCAGCUUGUUGGUGGGGUUAAGGCCUACCAAGGCGACGACGGGUAGCCGGCCUGAGAGGGUGACCGGCCACACUGGGACUGAGAUACGGCCCAGACUCCUACGGGAGGCAGCAGUGGGGAAUAUUGCACAAUGGGCGCAAGCCUGAUGCAGCGACGCCGCGUGAGGGACGACGGCCUUCGGGUUGUAAACCUCUUUCAGCACAGACGAAGCGCGAGUGACGGUAUGUGCAGAAGAAGGA
rnacentral:rRNA from 1 species